GACGAACCGUGCGAACGUUGUUCGGAAUCACUGGGCUUAAAGGGCGCGUAGGCGGGCAUUCAAGUCAAGGGUGAAAUCCCCCAGCUUAACUGGGGAACUGCCUUUGAUACUGGGUGCCUCGAGUAAGGUAGGGGCAUGCGGAACUGAUGGUGGAGCGGUGAAAUGUGUUGAUAUCUACAGGAACUCCGGUGGCGAAAGCGGCGUGCUGGACCUUUUCUGACGCUGAGGCGCGAAAGCUAGGGGAGCAAACGGG
rnacentral:rRNA from 1 species